CCUACGGGAGACAGCAGUGAGGAAUAUUGGUCAAUGGACGCAAGUCUGAACCAGCCAUGCCGCGUGCAGGAAGACGGCUCUAUGAGUUGUAAACUGCUUUUGUACGAGGGUAAAUGCAGGUACGUGUAUCUGUUUGAAAGUAUCGUACGAAUAAGGAUCGGUUAACUCCGUGCCAGCAGCCGCGGUAAUACGGAGGAUUCAAGCGUUAUCCGGAUUUAUUGGGUUUAAAGGGUGCGUAGGCGGUCGGAUAAGUUAGAGGUGAAAUCCCGAGGCUCAACUUCGGAAUUGCCUAUGAUACUGUUCGGCUAGAGAGUAGUUGCGGUAGGCGGAAUGUAUGGUGUAGCGGUGAAAUGCUUAGAGAUCAUACAGAACACCGAUUGCGAAGGCAGCUUACCAAGCUACUUCUGACGUUGAGGCACGAAAGCGUGGGGAGCAAACAGGAUUAGAUACCCUGGUAGUC
rnacentral:rRNA from 1 species